UUGAAUUUUUAUCUUUCAUAUAGCGAUUUAGUGAAUUGUUUUUUUUUUCUUUUUCCUAAUGAAUGGGAGGCUGAAUUUUUAUUUUUUGUUAUCACAUACAUAUGUGUUGUGUGCACAAACUGUUUUGAUUUCAGCUUCCUGCAGGAUAUUUCUUGGUUUAAAGAGCUUUUGACAUUUCCCCACUCUCUUCAUCUGAAGCAUUGAACAGAUUUUUGGUUUGUGUAAAGGUCAUAUCAUAAUUAUUGUUUGGAUCUUGGUGGGAAAUCUGAUACCUGUUGGCUAUAUACAGUAUGUUUCAGACCACCCUAGUGAUUUGAACUCUGAAUCAACACUUUUAUGUGGCAUCUAAUUUUCUGAAUGUGCUGGAAUUGGUUGCUGGCUAUGAUGAUUGGAUAACAAUUUGAUCAUGGAGAUGAAAUUUGUGGAGUAGUUGUCAAUGUCAGAACUAGGCAGGAAAAAAAAAUCUCUAUGGACGAAGAAUGCUACAAAUAAUGCUGCACAGGCAAUUGGCAUGUUUUGUUCACAUGAUGAUGCAAAGAAACUCAACAGACCUGCUAAGAAUCGCUACAACACAAGAUCUGCUUAGUGCGUGUUUUUAGGAUGAUGCCUAGAAGAUGCAAGAUGUUUUCUGGAUGCAGAAGCCUUAUCCUAGUUGCUAUCAAAACCCGGAGCAAUAAGAACAAAAGCUUUACCCAGAGCAACAACUGUUGGCAAUUCAAAAAGGCUUAUUCCUGGAUUCUAGACUCAGUUUUGGCUAUCUCAGGCUAUUCUGCAUUUUGCUAGAGAAUUUACAACGCAAAAUUUUACUAUUUUAAGGAU